CAGGCUUCAGGUGUGGAUAUUCUUCUGUGCUGGUCACUCGGAUGUGCCAGACCUUCUUCCAGGCCUCAUACAGCUGGAUGUGAACUGGGUAGACCCCGGAGUGAUGUGGAGCCACUGCGUACCCCAUGUCAGUCGAUCUCAGCAUCAGAGAAGCUGUUGUCCUUGGACAGCCUUGUAUCUAUUUGUAUGUAGCACACGAUAAAAACAGGGGAGAGAUGGAGGGAACUGGAAUUACAGUUUGAUAACUGCAGAGUGAUAAAUAAUCCUCUUGGAUUACAUUGUGUUACUGUUAUAUGGAAUAGGUUUGCCUAUCUGUUGAUUACAUAUUGUGUGCAUUUUAAGAUGUCCUAUUAUUUUGGUUCUUUUUAAAGGUAAACUAGGAAGCUGAUGCUAGUUAUUUAGUAAGUGAUCAAAUGGCAUUAGAGCAGUAAGCAGAAAAACUUGUUGCUGUGGCAUUUAUUUUUUGUUUCCUAUUACCAGAGUAAGAGCAAGAUGCCUUGCUGAUUCAAAACCAACUAACCAACCAAACAAAAACCAAAUAUCCCCUAUAGCUUCUGAAUCUGCUUAUAUUUUCCCAUGGCAUUAGGGCAGUAGCAAAAAUGCUAGGCUGAUAGACUUUUUUUUUUUUUUUUAAUAAAUAUUUAUUCAGUUCAGUUUCUAUGAGGAAAUAUGUGCAUUUUCAUGGAUAUAAUCUAUAGGCUAUCUUGAAAGUAUAUUCUGAUGAAACAGUGAGGAGGUUAUAUGCAGGCAGAAUGAAUUAAGAAAGUCACUUGAAUGUGAGUGUGCUGGUAUGCUGGGCAUGUGCCUUCGCUCACAAAUAUCUCCUGCCUUGUUCUGCUCCUAAUCUCUCCCAUUCACACGGGCUGUCUGAAAACCCCAUCUGAUGGGGUUAUCUGAUGGGGCCAGUUAACCACCUUUAAAGACUGGGAUGUUUUCAAGAGAUCAAAUUAUUUGAUCAGGUGGUUAAUUUUGUUGGUCUGAGUGAUGUUCAGAAUUGUACACAGCAUUUCGUCACCAGCUACAGCCAGGAAAAAAGGCUAUGUUCUGCCACUUCUCCAUCGCCCCUUCAGACCCCUCAACUUCCAAGCCCUUUUCAGCUCUACCAUGGGAUCUCCAGAUCUGUAAGCUGUCACACUGCUGUGGCUCUUGCAGGAUCACUUUCUGUGCUCUGGGUGUUUACUGCAUCUGCUUUAUUCCCAGUACCACACGGUGUGGGACAACGUCUGUGGCAUCAGCUCUCAGUGUUGCAAAACUUCCUCUCUUUUGCUAUCCUAUGGCUUACUAAAAUCACUCCCUUCUCCUUCCAGGAGAACAGCUACAUCAGCCAUUUUAUGCUCAUAUAUAACUAAUACAGCUGAAAAUGGUUAAAAUGUGAGAUAAUGUGUUUGUCCUUCCUCUUGCCCAUGUUAUCUAAUCACUUUAUCUAAUUACUUCAACUCUGGGAGUGGCAGAUUCUGCUGGGCAUCUUCAAGUGCUUUGCAAAGAAAGGCUUUUGGGUCAUUGACAAAAUUAACCCUAUGAGGAACACUUGCUCAUACACGACGUAAUGCAGCCACUUAAAAUUAUCCAUUGCUUAUUAGUAAUUAUCUUAGGUUACCAGAUGAUGGGGAGAGGAGGGGUGUGUAAAAAGAAACCAGAACUCAUUCUUUUGUAAUUUCCUGAGAGGAAAGUAUAAUUUCUGCUUAUUAAUGUUACAUACCUGAAACGCAUUUGUCAGUUUAAGGGUGAGAUGAUGAGUAGCUGUACAGUAAGUGUCAACUCCUUCUUUUUUUCUCUUUUCUUUAAACAUAUAGAAAGGAGUAAGUUAUAUCUAAGGGGUUUUGAAAAGUCUGGCUAUUUAUUAACAGGAUGCCUGAGUGUAUGAUGCUCACAGUUGGAUGGAUAUACUGUAUUGACUUGACUCUGCAAACCUUCACCAAAACUUGUUAGGGAGUAUACACAAAUGUAAAGCAAGUCUGUCUUGAGAUAUAGCUAAUGACUACUGCUGUGAAUAUGUCCGAAAGUAGGUAUCUGGAUGAAUACAUGUAAAAUCCUAUUUAUCUACUUAGUAUUUGCAGCUGUUAUUGCCAUAGAAACAGAAUGGUGAAAUGGUAAUUUACCAUUCACAAAUAAAAUAAGGCAGCAUAUUGUAAGUUCUCAAUAUAAAAAGCUAAUUAGCCUCUGAAUAAACCUGGGCACUACUUAGUUCAUCACAUAAAUACACGUCAGUCACUCAGACACCCAAUACAACUUUAAGAAGGAAAAACUAAGGCAUAAUCAGAUUUUCUUUGACCAGUUCCAUGUUCGAUUUACUUGGGUAAAUUAAAUAUAUAUAUCCUCUUUUAGUGA